UACGUAGGGUGCGAGCGUUAAUCGGAAUUACUGGGCGUAAAGCGUGCGCAGGCGGUUUUGUAAGCCAGAUGUGAAAUCCCCGGGCUUAACCUGGGAAUGGCAUUUGGGACUGCAAGGCUCGAGUGCGGCAGAGGAGACUGGAAUUCCUGGUGUAGCAGUGAAAUGUGUAGAUAUCAGGAGGAACACCGAUGGCGAAGGCAGGUCUCUGGGCUGACACUGACGCUCAUGCACGAAAGCGUGGGGAGCAAACAGG
rnacentral:rRNA from 1 species